UGGGGAAUAGUAUACGAAUAGAGCAGAGUGCUCUGGCUUCGUUGGUCCUGGUUCAAAUCCAGGUUCCCCAUCCA
rnacentral:tRNA from 1 species